UAGGCAUGCACCAUCAUGCCCAGCUAAUUUUUGUAUUUUUAGCAGAGAUGGGGUUUCACUAUGUUGGCCAGGCGGGUCUCAAACUCCUGACCUUGCGAUCCGCCCCCCUCAGCCUCUCAAAGUGCUGGGAUUACAGGCGUGAGCCACUAUGCCGGCCGCAAAGGAUUCUUUAACACAAAAGGGCAGGACUCAUGAGACUGACCUGACCAUUACAUGGUGCAGUGAGAGUUCAAUUUAACUAAGCCUCCUUAUGCUUCUUUGACUAAUUUAGGGCCAUGCAGUGUCAAACAGCAAUGAGGGCACAAAAGCAGCUUCUCCCUGGCUAUCUUCAGAAGGAAUCUUAGAUUGCCCUUGAACACCAUCAACAAUCUGCUAUUUGGAGGGCUGGAAACUAAGCCUAAGAAACCACCAGGCUUCGGCCGGGCACGCUGGCUCAUGCCUGUAAUCCCAGCACUUUGGGAGGCCAGGGCAGGCUGAUCACCUGAGCCCAGGAGUUCAAGACCAGCCUAGGCAAUCUGGUGAAACCCAGUCUCUAUAAUAUAUACAAAAACUAGCCAGGCAUGGUGGCGUGUGCCUGUAGUCCCAGCUACUGGGGAAGGAUUGCUUGAGCCCGGGAGGUGGAGGUUACAGCGAGCUGAGAUCACGCCACUGCACUCCAGCCUGGGCAACAGAGCCUGACCCUG
rnacentral:lncRNA from 10 species